ensembl:lncRNA
UUUUUGGGUGAACUAACGCUGUCUUCUGAACUUGGGUGCACACCUGCGAACCGUACCCGAGUCCGCUUAAAAAGGGUNGUUUACUGAGUGACGUAACGUCACGUCGUUGCUCUAACGGACUUGCAGAAGAAUUCAUUCAACAUGGCAGAUAAUCACAAGCAACCGGAGCAAACUUAAUGGAACAACUUGCUGAGCUGGAUGCUGAAUCGAAAGAGUGAGCCGUAACACUUAAGAUAACUUCUAUUCAGUUGAAGAGCAAGUUGUGUGAUGUGUCAUCACAUAACAGAAUACAGACUCGGCUUUUACUUUUCUAUAUCCAUUGUUAGUUAUACAUUUAUUGAGCAUGUUUUCUAGGUUUGUGCUGAGUUUCAUCAUAUCAGAGAAAGUGGCACACACCAGCAAGAUUUCACAGAUGUUGCAUGACAUUCUAAAUGUUUGAUCUUCAGGUGAGUGCAAAUUCAUGAACACUAACUACCUCCAUCACCGUCUUCACUGUAUAUAAAAUAAAGUUGGCCUGCUUGUUUAACAUGUUUAUUUUUAUUUUUUGUUUACAUGAUGUCAACCUGAAACGAGCCCUUCAUGCUCUCCCAGUGUACAUGUGUGAGGAGAACUGUUCUUCGGGACAUGAAAUGAGGAAUUGGGCGAGCCAGACAUCACUGACACAAACACCUCUCCUGCUGAUUUUGUUAUCAUGGACAACGAAACCACUACAAGUCCUGCAAGCACUGCAGUUGUGAUGAGAUGAUCUUCCAGUGUUUGAC